ACUCCUACGGGAGGCAGCAGUGGGGAAUAUUGCACAAUGGAGGGAACUCUGAUGCAGCGACGCCGCGUGAGCGAUGAAGGCCUUCGGGUCGUAAAGCUCUGUCCUAUGGGACGAUAAUGACGGUACCAUAGGAGGAAGCCCCGGCUAACUACGUGCCAGCAGCCGCGGUAAU
rnacentral:rRNA from 2 species